AGGCAGCCUAGGCUGAAUUUCUUGAAGCUGGAUUCGCAGCCUGAUGAGUAACCCAUUGCUGCCAGUGUCCUGGUGACAUUUUCCAAGGAAUUCAAAUAUCCUUGUUCACAUCAAUCUGUUCCUUCUGCCAAUACCCCUGAUGCCUAUCUAAAAUACUGAUUAACGAAAGGUAACACUGUGACAAGUUGAAAACAGCUGCAAAGAACAUUGUCCACAAUGAUUCCUAUCUUUUUCCUACUCCACUGCAACUCCUUAACUCAGGCUUCCAAGACCUUUGCUCCCAUGAGCCUGGUGGCUUUUGACAGAUUCUAUACCAUUCCAAUAAAUCUGAUAU